ensembl:lincRNA
CCACACACAUCUGUCUGUUCCCUAUAGGUUUCCUUAUCAGAAGAGGAAGCGACACCAGGAUCAUGCCUGCACAGAGGAAGAGAUGUCAAGGACAGCCAGCAUAAAGCCAAGGAGGCCUCCGAGGAGGCCAAACCUGCCUAAAUUUCGAUUUCACACUUGUGGCCGGUAGAACCAUGAGCCAACACACUCCUGGUGUUUCAGCAGUCCAGUCUGCGGCAUUUUAUUACGGCAGCCCAAGCAGAUACACAUGCACACGUUCUAAGAUGCUUGCAUGUAGCCACAGUCGUAGAAACGCACACACGUAGACACAAACCCAGAUGCCACCCACGCAGACCCACACUCACACCCCUGCACUGCUGCACACCCCACCACUAGGCAGAGGGGGAGCAGAACGGAGACCGUGGAACUCAGCCUCAGCCUCACGAGUGGAUGAUCUCUGGAAAGGGAAAUAAGAAUGGAACACAAGCAUGAAACUCUGCAACUCAGAAAAGUGGCGAGAGGGGUAACGGGGUGGAGAGAAAGCAGCAGUGAAGACGGCGACGGGGCAAUUUCCAGGGUGGUGAACGUGGGAGUGACGUGGUGAACAGACAACACAGGAAUGAGGAGACAUGCCCCCGAGUCAAGAACUGAGUUCCGCAAGUGGCUUUGGUUUGAAUGGAAGAGAAGGAAAGGAAAACAAGAAGAGAGAGGUUGGUUGCUCAGGGGCCUGACUUCUGGGAGCAAUAUAGGGCUAGUCCACCAAGCCCAGACACUACUGGCAUUUUGGAUCACUUCAGAUGGGGACUUUGCCUCAGCCUGUUUUGAUAUCUGUGAAUUAGAAAAUUCCAGACGGAAACGGCAACUUGAGAACAUUUCCUCUCUGGUACUCUCUCCAACGCGAUGGACGGGUCGCCGGACCCCCUCAUUAUGCCUGCUCUUUCCUUGUUGCCUUUGUCAGCAACAAAUUCACUGCCCUCCUCACUUUUCUGGCCCAUGGAGCCUGCUCCUUCUUUGCUAUGGACAACAACGUCCAUGGAAUCCUCGGAACCAGAGACUUUCGGGAUGUUCUCGUCUUUCCUCGCCUCAUCCUCCAUGAUGGACAAGGUUUGCUUCUUGCCCAAUAUCCAUUCCUUCCUUCUGUGGCUCACAGCACCCAGAUUUUAGCCUGAGGAUUUUAGUUCUUGGUUGGGUGAAAUUUGCACUGCCUCUGGCCCAAGUGGUGAACCCUGAUUAAUUAAAGGCAUCAUCAUGACUCCCAGUCUUUUGCCAUAGAGAUAGGCUGAGGGUUAUCUCAGCGUGUGGCCCUCUCCUGGCCCUGAGGUAGGGUAAGGUUGGUCUCCGUAGACUAUGAUGAUGGGGUCUGGGCAGUGGAGGAGGAAACUGUUUCUUGUGAUGGAGGUCUGGACCAGCUGAGCCAUGUCUGCUUGGUGGCCACACUCUUUCCAUUAUGGGGGCAAAUCAGUUUCCUUUAGAGUUUACUGCAGCUUGUAUCGAAUGUUCUGACAAUCAAAAAUAUCCUUAGCAGACUACCACUAAAUAGGGAAGAGAGGUGGGAGGAAACAAGAGGGAGAAGGGGAUUUGCACGGAAGAUAGAAGGAGAACCUCAUCGUUAUACAGAAUACAUAUAUGAUGUUGUGAUGAGAAAAAGAAAAAAAAGUGUGUCACAUGAGAUUGGAUAGAGAGAAAUGAUGGGAGAGGAGGGGAGGAGUAGGGAGGACAGGAAGGGCAGCAGGAUAGAAUAGACAAGAUGAUUGAUGUAUGUAUAUAGGUGACUGUAUGACCAAUGUGAUUCUGCAAUCUGUACAAUUAGAAAAAUGAGAAAUUAUACCCCAAUGAUACAAAUGUAUGAAUUGCCAAGAUCAUUGUAAUGUCAUGUGCAGAUUUAUAAAAAUAGUAAAAUAUCCAAAAAAAAGUCUCCUUAGCUAAUAUACCCCACAGUCAGUCCCUAUAUCCUAUUCGCAUGGCUUCUUUAGUAUUGCUCAAUCCAGCCUCCCUCUCCUUUACAGAGUGUCACUGAAUACUCACCAUCUUAGUUAAUGGGGGUCCAACGUAGGUUUAAAAUGACCCUUUUAGCAUUGAGAAAAUUUCUAGGAAUGCAGAAGCCCAAUAAUUUGGAAAUAAUGAGAAAGUGGAUUGAUGGCUCCCAAAUUUACAGGGAGUAUUUACGUAAAGACCCCAGAAAGGUCUUAGGUCAACAAGGCCCUUUUAGGGUUGGCCCCACUCGGGUCUCCCAGCCUCCCCCUCCUCCCCCGCCCCGUCCUCGCAAGGCAGCCCUGCCCUACUUCCUGCACCUUCUCCAGUUCCCUACACUGUAUCGCGGGUGUGUGUGUGUGUGUGUGUGUGUGUGUGUGUGUGUGCUCUCAGUGCCUUCCUGAAUUCUAAUUCCUGUUUGGGAAGAAGCCCCUCCCUUUCCCACAAGAAAGACUGCCACUCAUCUGAGUUCCAUCGGGACCUGGGGAUGUGUCAGUCUCCAGUGUGGGGACAGGUGAGGCAAUAUGGAGGCCUGGCCAGGCCCAGGGAUGAGAAGCAGCCAAUCCUGGUUCUGGAUCAGGGAGUGCAGAGACUGAGGCCUAGAGGUGUAGACGGGCUCCACGUGGACAUCAUGGAUCAUGUCAGGGCCAGAAGGCCCAACGGAGGCCUAGCAAAUGGCACUAGAGGCUUAGCAAAUGAACAGGAGACUUGAAAGAGGGCAGAUCCCAAAGUUUGAGGCUCAGGUGGCAACCCUGGGCCUACCACUGUUAGAGGUGACCAGAAGGAAGCCAAGAGCUGGAAGAGAAUCCUACCUCAGAUUUGGGGGUGUUAGAGAGAGGUUGAAAUUUUCGCAACGCUCAUCCUCAGCCCAGGGAUGGGGAAGUGUGGGUAGGAAGUCAGAAUUGCAUGGGGGAAGCAUGCUGCUUUCUUUUUUCUUUCCAAAAGGAGUUUGUGGGACCACUGAGCUCAACCCUAACCCUACUCCUUGGAAUACAAGGAUCUAUAAGUGGGGAAAUGGGUACGUGGGGAUGUGGGUGCUUUGAAGAAGCUCUUAAAGUAAUUCUGAUGUUUCCUCGACUGGUCCUUCAGACCCCAGGAUUGUCCUAAGGGUGACCCUGCAUCUGCUAGUGUCUCUGGUUCUUUCCUACUAUGUCCUGACUACACUCUCUUUGUGCUGGGGCCCUGACUUUGCUUGGGUUGUUCUGGAAUGUUCUUUUGCCAUCUUGCCUUUCUGUCACAUCCCAGGUCAUCCUACCCAUCUCUAGCGUCAAGGAGAGCCCUCCACUCUACUUCUGCCCCUGGACUUCCUCCCCUGCCUCGGGCCCCUGGGUAAGCGCCACACUCCCUCCCCGGCCACAGUGACUUGGGGCUCCACCUCACCACUCACACUUGCCCUUGUUGCUCUCACAUGUUUGCCCUCCUUCCUGUCCCACCAGGUGAACUCUUGGAGGCCAGAAAUCUGGGUUUUCCACCUCUGGAGCCACAGUAGUGAAGCCAGGUUUAAAGUUAAGCGGUCAGUGAAGUAAGGUAAAUCGGGUCUAAUAUCAGUGAGAUCUAAAACGGAGCCCAUGAGAAUGAAUUCCCGGAGAAGUUGAGCAACUCUCAGAAUGUUAAUGAAGUCCAGGAAACAGCCCCCAGCAGGUUUGAAGACAGCCCAUCCCAAAGAAAGGUUAAUGAACAGCAAACUUGAAGAUGCUGCCUCAGGAGUCCUUCCUGCCCAGAUUACUUCUUUGGCCCACCUGUGUCCCACCCCUCGGGCCUUCCACCUACAUUCCAUCACCAAAACUAUAAAAAGGGGAGACAACCGCACUUCCACGGAUUCCACCUCUUGGGUCCCCUUCUUCCUCCCGGAGAAGUCUUUUCUGCUGUCCUUUAAUAAACUUCUAUUUUCCACUCUAAACUUGCCUCUCCGUGCUUCUCUGGUGUGAUACCUCGACCUUGGGGAAGCAAGGACUCGUCACCGGUCAACAGCGGUAACAACAGUACCUGCCACAUAGUAGGCUCAACC